UAACCUCUCCUACUGCAGGAUGGACAGUGACAUCUGAGCCUGGAGACCUCAAAGUGAGAAUCCAGAGGACUUGAUGUCAGUACCGGAUCAAUUUGUCUCAAGGGUGUCCAUAUUGUACUGAGUUGUGGUAGUGUCAUUCCUAUGGUGGGUAUCUCCCAUUCGCAUUAUGUGUCCAAUGUAGAAGACACAAACGUAAGGAAACUGUUAAGGUGCUUAAUACCCUAUCAGCACAAGGAGAAAUCGAAAUUGAUGAUCAUAACUGGUGGGAGUUAUUUGAGAAUGGAACGAGGAAAAAA